rnacentral:rRNA from 1 species
CUGAAUGCGCCCCAUCUCACCUGAUCUCAGAAGCUAAGCAG